AUUGAACGCUGGCGGCAUGCUUUACACAUGCAAGUCGAACGGUAACAGGCCGCAAGGUGCUGACGAGUGGCGAACGGGUGAGUAAUGCAUCGGAACGUGCCCAGUCGUGGGGGAUAACGCAGCGAAAGCUGCGCUAAUACCGCAUACGAUCUAUGGAUGAAAGCGGGGGACCGUAAGGCCUCGCGCGAUUGGAGCGGCCGAUGUCAGAUUAGGUAGUUGGUGGGGUAAAGGCCUACCAAGCCAACGAUCUGUAGCUGGUCUGAGAGGACGACCAGCCACACUGGGACUGAGACACGGCCCAGAAUCCUACUGGAGGCAACAGUGGGGAAUUUUGGACAAUGGGCGCAAGCCUGAUCCAGCAAUGCCGCGUGCAGGAAGAAGGCCGUCGGGUUGUAAACUGCUUUUGUACGGAACGAAACGGUCCGGGUUAAUACCCUGGGCUAAUGACGGUACCGUAAGAAUAAGCACCGGCUAACUACGUGCCAGCCGCCGCCGUAAGAC
rnacentral:rRNA from 1 species